CACGUAGGCACCAAGCGUUGUCCGGAUUUAUUGGGCGUAAAGAGCUCGUAGGCGGUUCGGUAAGUCGGGUGUGAAAACUUUGGGCUCAACCCAAAGCCUGCACUCGAUACUGCUGUGACUUGAGUCCGGUAGGGGAGUGGGGAAUUCCUGGUGUAGCGGUGAAAUGCGCAGAUAUCAGGAGGAACACCAGCGGCGAAGGCGGCGCUCUGGGCAGUAACUGACGCUGAGGAGCGAAAGCGUGGGGAGCGAACAGG
rnacentral:rRNA from 1 species